UGCAUGGUGGCUUAGUGGUUAGCAUGUUCGGCUCACGUCUCCAGGGUUGGGGGUUUGAUUCCUGUGUGUGCAG